rnacentral:rRNA from 1 species
UGGGGAAUUUUGGACAAUGGGCGCAAGCCUGAUCCAGCCAUUCCGCGUGAGUGAAGAAGGCCUUCGGGUUGUAAAGCUCUUUCGCAAGGGAAGAAACGUUACGAGCGAAUAACUCGUGAUAAUGACGGUACCUUGAUAAGAAGCACCGGCUAACUACGUGCCAGCAGCCGCGGUAAUACGUAGGGUGCGAGCGUUAAUCGGAAUUACUGGGCGUAAAGCGUGCGCAGGCGGUUUUGUAAGUCAGAUGUGAAAUCCCCGGGCUCAACCUGGGAACUGCGUUUGAAACUACAAGGCUAGAGUAUGGCAGAGGGGGGUAGAAUUCCACGUGUAGCAGUGAAAUGCGUAGAGAUGUGGAGGAAUACCAAUGGCGAAGGCAGCCCCCUGGGUCAAUACUGACGCUCAUGCACGAAAGCGUGGGGAGCAAACAGG